rnacentral:snoRNA from 1 species
GUGGAGGGAGAUUAUAAUUCUAAGUAAAAACAUGAAAACAUUAAUGCUUAAGAUUUUAAAAACUAUUAUCCCUCUGUACCAGGCAGCCUGACCCUGACCUGAAGUAAAUUCCCAGGAGAGUUUUUUCCCUGGGUUUUGCAUUUGCAGUAAUAGGUGUGAACAUUCUAGCAGCAGUCUGAUGAUCAAGUAUGAUACUGCAAACAGGA